rnacentral:rRNA from 1 species
AUGUGGCGUCGACGAAGCACUACACCUGGCUUGCUUGCCGGCGCGCGCGUGCGUGCUUCGAUGCGCGGCGCUUCAUCGAGCUGGCCGGACCGCGGAAAUCUUCGGAGCCAGAGCCGAAGGAGGCGACAAAAUGCUGCUGCUAUGGCUGCGUCCUCGGAGGCAGCAGCUGCCCCUUGCCGACCUCACCAACCUCCGACGUCCGCCAUGAGCUCCGCGCAGGACCCCUUCUACAUCGUCCGGGAGGAGAUCCAGGGCUGGAUCGGUAAGCUGCAGACUACGUUCUAUCGCUGGGAGCAAGUUUCUUCAAACAACGGAGAAUAUGUUCAUCUGACAAUAUCAUCGUUGGGAGCAAGUUUCUUCAAACCUGAUUACUUUGUCAUCAGGCUGGCUGAUUGCAUCCAACUCAAAGAGUUCCACAUUUCUAACUUGAGGGUUCCACUUGCACAUGAUGGCCCCACAACUCCUUAUGGCAAGCAGUUUCCUGCAGCUGACAACAAGGUAAGCAAACAUCAUGUUCAGUUCCUGGAGCGUAUAAAUGUGCUACUUUUCAUCUCUCAAAUGAGCCACGCACUUGGUAGUUGCUUUGUUCAUCCAAAAAUGUGA